UGGGGAAUUUUGGACAAUGGGCGAAAGCCUGAUCCAGCAAUGCCGCGUGUGUGAAGAAGGCCUUCGGGUUGUAAAGCACUUUUGUCCGGAAAGAAAUCCUUGGCUCUAAUACAGUCGGGGGAUGACGGUACCGGAAGAAUAAGCACCGGCUAACUACGUGCCAGCAGCCGCGGUAAUACGUAGGGUGCAAGCGUUAAUCGGAAUUACUGGGCGUAAAGCGUGCGCAGGCGGUUUGCUAAGACCGAUGUGAAAUCCCCGGGCCCAACCUGGGAACUGCAUUGGUGACUGGCAGGCUAGAGUAUGGCAGAGGGGGGUAGAAUUCCACGUGUAGCAGUGAAAUGCGUAGAGAUGUGGAGGAAUACCGAUGGCGAAGGCAGCCCCCUGGGCCAAUACUGACGCUCAUGCACGAAAGCGUGGGGAGCAAACAGGAUUAGAUACCCUGGUAGUCCACGCCCUAAACGAUGUCAACUAGUUGUUGGGGAUUCAUUUCCUUAGUAACGUAGCUAACGCGUGAAGUUGACCGCCUGGGGAGUACGGUCGCAAGAUUAAAACUCAAAGGAAUUGA
rnacentral:rRNA from 1 species